UUCCCUCACGAGAAGCCUGUUAGAGGCUUCCUUGGUCCCGGAAGCCCCUGAGCGUAGCUGCUGCGAUGGAGAAGAUGCUGGCGAGCCCUCAAGGCAGCGUCCUGGUGAAAAGAACCCCAGACACACCGCUUCUCUCCCCUUUAGUCUGUGCCCUCCCGGACCGCGCUUCCCCCAAAUCUUGCAGCAUCAACGAGGCCUGCCCAGAAUGCAAUCACCUCUAGGAGGGCAGUGGCUCACUGUUGGAUCUCCAGUACUCAGAACCUGGCGCACCACAGGUCUGAUGGCUUUGGGAGUCACACGUCUUCUCCGGCCCACUGGAGACAAGUCACAGCAGGACCGGAAGAUCCCACAGCCGCUUGCAUGCUGUAAAAUCCCCCUUGCUAUUCAGAUAAUGUAAAAAGCUUGCCAGUUUGGGACCCACCUCUGGGCUCCCCACACCACAGUCCUAACCUCCCGGGUUCAAGGAAAGUUGCUCCUGGCUCAUUCUGGAAUGUGGGGGGGGAGACAGGGGUUGGUGGGAGGUACCUGAGCAUACCCCCACUGAAGACUAGACGCUUUUCCACGUGGGAUUGGGAUCCAUAAAGCUGAUUGAAUUUUCGGUAAGGGUAGGUUGGAGAAGGGUGCAAGAAACUGACUCCCCCAAAGAUUCAGGAGCAUCUUCUUUGACUUCUGGUUACCCGGGCUGUUGGCAGGUGUGGGUUGGGGGGAAGGAGUUGCAAAAUCGGUACAGUGAGGAGAGUCUAUCCCACGGGGCACCUGGCAAGGCAACACUUCUGGCAUGGCUGGCACUCAACAAAUAUGGAAACUUCCAAGAGUCUGCUGUCUGGCUGCCAAUCACAAGGGAGUGGAGUCAGGAUGUGCCCCCGCCUGUGUGAUGGGAGGCUGGUGUAGGAGAUGCAUAGACAGGACCACCGGCUCCAGAGCCAUUUCUGCUUUUAGAAUAAUGGUGCGGUUUGUUUGUUUUUUAUUAAA